rnacentral:rRNA from 1 species
UACGUAGGGUGCGAGCGUUGUUCGGAAUCUCUGGGCGUAAAGCGCACGUAGGCGGAUCUUUAAGUCAGGGGUGAAAUCCCGAGGCUCAACCUCGGAACUGCCUUUGAUACUGAGGGCCUUGAGACCGGAAGAGGUCGGCGGAACUGCGAGUGUAGAGGUGAAAUUCGUAGAUAUUCGCAAGAACACCAGUGGCGAAGGCGGCCGACUGGUCCGGUUCUGACGCUGAGGCGCGAAAGCGUGGGGAGCAAACAGG